GCCCCCGUAGCUCAGCGGAUAGAGCACGGCGUUCCGGACGCCGGGGCCGCAGGUUCGAUUCCUGCCGGGGGCA
rnacentral:tRNA from 1 species